GCCACCUUAUGAGAAAUCAAAGUUUUUGUGUUCUGGGGGGAGUAUGGUCUCAAGGCUGAAACUUAAAGGAAUUGACGGAAGGGCACCACCAUGUGUGGAGCCUGCGGCUUUAUUUGACUCAACACGGGGAAACUUACAAGGUCCAAACAUAGUAAGGAUUGACAGACUGAGAGCUCUUUCUUGAUUCUACUGGUGGUGGUGCAUGGCCGUUCUUAGUUGGUGAGCGAUUUGUCUGGUUAAUUCCGUUAACGAAUGAGACCAAAUCCUGCUAACUAGCUAUGCGGAGGUAUCCCUUCUCGGCAAGCUUCUUAGAGGGACUACGGCCUUUUAGGCCGCAGAUGUUUGAGGCAAUAACAGGUCUGUGAUGCCCUUAGAUGUUAUAGGUCGCACGCGCGCUACACUUAUUAUUCAACGAGCUUAUAGCCUUGGCCAACAGGCCCGGGUAAUCUUUGAAAUUUCAUCGUGAUAGGGAUAUAUCAUUGCAUUUAUUGGUUUUCAACGAGGAAUUCCUAGUAAGCGUGAGUCAUCAGCUCCUGUUGACUACGUCCCUGCCCUAUGUACACACCGCCCGUCGCUCUUACCGAUUGAAUAAUUUAGUGAAAUGUUCGAAUCGCGGCGACAUGGGCAGUUUGCUGCCCGCGAAGUCGUGAGAAGUCCAUUGAACCUUAUCAUUUAGAGGAAGGAGAAGUCGUAACAAGGUUUCCAUAGGUAAACCUGCGGAAGGAUCAUUG
rfam:Solanum lycopersicum unplaced genomic scaffold SL2.40sc04449, whole genome shotgun sequence.